UACGUAGGGUGCGAGCGUUAAUCGGAAUUACUGGGCGUAAAGGGUGCGCAGGCGAUUUUGUAAGCCAGAUGUGAAAUCCCCGGGCUCAACCUGGGAAUGGCAUUUGGGACUGCAAGGCUAGAGUGUGGCAGAGGAGACUGGAAUUCCCGGUGUAGCAGUGAAAUGCGUAGAUAUCGGGAGGAAUACCGAUGGCGAAGGCAGGUCUCUGGGCUGACACUGACGCUCAUGCACGAAAGCGUGGGGAGCAAACAGG
rnacentral:rRNA from 1 species